rnacentral:rRNA from 1 species
AUACGGAGGGAGCUAGCGUUAUUCGGAAUUACUGGGCGUAAAGCGCGCGUAGGCGGUUAUUCAAGUCAGAGGUGAAAGCCUGGAGCUCAACUCCAGAACUGCCUUUGAAACUAGAUAACUAGAAUCUUGGAGAGGCGAGUGGAAUUCCGAGUGUAGAGGUGAAAUUCGUAGAUAUUCGGAAGAACACCAGUGGCGAAGGCGACUCGCUGGACAAGUAUUGACGCUGAGGUGCGAAAGCGUGGGGAGC